UACGUAGGGUGCAAGCGUUAAUCGGAAUUACUGGGCGUAAAGCGUGCGCAGGCGGUGAUGUAAGACAGAUGUGAAAUCCCCCGGGCUCAACUUGGGAAUUGCGCUUGUGACUGGCGUGCUGGAGUGUGGCAGAGGGAGGUGGAAUUCCACGUGUAGCAGUGAAAUGCGUAGAGAUGUGGAGGAACACCGAUGGCGAAGGCAGCCUCCUGGGCCG
rnacentral:rRNA from 1 species